rnacentral:rRNA from 1 species
AGUGAACGCUGGCGGUAGGCCUAACACAUGCAAGUCGAACGGCAGCACAGUAAGAGCUUGCUCUUACGGGUGGCGAGUGGCGGACGGGUGAGGAAUACAUCGGAAUCUACUUUUUCGUGGGGGAUAACGUAGGGAAACUUACGCUAAUACCGCAUACGACCUACGGGUGAAAGCAGGGGAUCUUCUGACCUUGCGCGAUUGAAUUAGCCGAUGUCGGAUUAGCUAGUUGGCGGGGUAAAGGCCCACCAAGGCGACGAUCCGUAGCUGGUCUGAGAGGAUGAUCAGCCACACUGGAACUGAGACACGGACCAGACUCCUAAGGGAGGCAGCAGUGGGGAAUAUUGGACAAUGGGCGCAAGCCUGAUCCAGCCAUACCGAGUGGGUGAAGAAGGCCUUCGGGUUGUAAAGCCCUCUUGUUGGGAAAGAAAAGCAGCAGGUUAAUACCCCGCUGUUCUGACGGUAACCAAAGAAUAAGCACCGGCUAACUUCGUG